rnacentral:rRNA from 1 species
GAUGAACGCUGGCGGCGUGCUUAACACAUGCAAGUCGAACGGAAAGGCCCAAGCUUGCUUGGGUACUCGAGUGGCGAACGGGUGAGUAACACGUGGGUGAUCUGCCCUGCACUUCGGGAUAAGCCUGGGAAACUGGGUCUAAUACCGGAUAGGACCACAUUUUGGAUGGUGUGGUGGAAAGUUUUUCGGUGUGGGAUGAGCUCGCGGCCUAUCAGCUUGUUGGUGGGGUAAUGGCCUACCAAGGCGUCGACGGGUAGCCGGCCUGAGAGGGUGUACGGCCACAUUGGGACUGAGACACGGACCAGACUCCUACGGGAGGCAGCAGUGGGGAGUGUUGCACAAUGAGCGCAAGCCUGAUGCAGAGACGCCGCGUGGGGGAUGACGGCCUUCGGGUUGUAAACUCCUUUCGCUAGGGACGAAGCGUUAUGUGACGGUACCUGGAGAAGAAGCACCGGCUAACUACGUG